UACAGAGGGUGCGAGCGUUAAUCGGAAUUACUGGGCGUAAAGCGUGCGUAGACGGUCUUGUAAGUCGGAUGUGAAAGCCCCGGGCUCAACCUGGGAAUGGCAUUCGAGACUGCCAGGCUAGGGUGCGGAAGAGGGAAGCGGAAUUUCCGGUGUAGCGGUGAAAUGCGUAGAUAUCGGAAGGAACAUCAGUGGCGAAAGCGGCUUCCUGGUCCAGCACCGACGUUCAGGCACGAAAGCGUGGGGAGCAAACAGG
rnacentral:rRNA from 1 species